GGGCCCGCACAAGCGGUGGAGCAUGUGGUUUAAUUCGAUGAUACGCGAGGAACCUUACCAGGGCUUAAAUGUAGUGGGACAGGUCUAGAGAUAGACCCUUCUUCGGACUCAUUACAAGGUGCUGCAUGGUUGUCGUCAGCUCGUGCCGUGAGGUGUCAGGUUAAGUCCUAUAACGAGCGCAACCCCUAUCGUUAGUUGCCAGCGGGUAAUGCCGGGAACUCUAACGAAACUGCCAGUGCAAACUGUGAGGAAGGUGGGGAUGACGUCAAAUCAUCACGGCCCUUACGUCCUGGCUACACACGUGCUACAAUGGCCGGUACAGAGAGCAGCCACUGCGCGAGCAGGAGCGAA
rnacentral:rRNA from 1 species